GAUGAACGCUGGCGGCGUGCCUAAUACGUGCAAGUCGAGCGAACAGACGAGGAGCUUGCUCCUCUGACGUUAGCGGCGGACGGGUAAGUAACACGUGGAUAAACUACCUAUAAGACUGGGAUAACUUCGGGAAACCGGAGCUAAUACCGGAUAAUAUAUUGAACCGCAUGGUUCAAUAGUGAAAGACGGUUUUGCUGUCACUUAUAGAUGGAUCCGCGCCGCAUUAGCUAGUUGGUAAGGUAACGGCUUACCAAGGCAACGAUGCGUAGCCGACCUGAGAGGGUGAUCGGCCACACUGGAACUGAGACACGGUCCAGACUCCUACGGGAGGCAGCAGUAGGGAAUCUUCCGCAAUGGGCGAAAGCCUGACGGAGCAACGCCGCGUGAGUGAUGAAGGUCUUCGGAUCGUAAAACUCUGUUAUUAGGGAAGAACAAAUGUGUAAGUAACUAUGCACGUCUUGACGGUACCUAAUCAGAAAGCCACGGCUAACUACGUG
rnacentral:rRNA from 1 species